AUGGAAGUGAUGAUUAUUUCCCCAAAUGAUCGACGCUGAUUAUACUGUGCGACUUAAUUUUCUCUUUCGAGAGACCAAGCCAGAUUUCUGAUCCAU
rnacentral:snoRNA from 1 species